AUCUAGAGGGUGAAUGUGAAAGAUUGUUGUUCUGACAAACCUAGAGUACAGCUUUCUUAUUGGCUCUUAAUUCUGGAAAACAGAGUGACUCCUAAUAUCUUGACAUGUUUAUAUUUAUAUGUACACACAUAUCUUGGAAGGCAUCAUCUGUACUCACAUAGCACAUAAACCCUGUAAAAGUUUCAUCUAUGAAGAUUAUAUGCCUGAGAGAAAAGGGUAGAGUCUUAGAGAUCUAAACAUUUAAAGAGAUGGUUCUAAUAGGCAAAUUCACUGUCAACAACUUUUUCUUUAUUUCUUAUAAUCUGAGUAAAAUUUAAGAAAAAUCAAAUAGGUAUUUUGGCUGUUUGGUACCUGUUCUCACAAGACUGAUUUACUACAGAUACUCAUAGAACAUAGAAGUUGAUCUUCUUCACAAGAAGUCUGGCAUGACGAAAGUGUGAUCUAAAAGAAAAGAACUAAAUGAAGAAAGUAAAAAGUUCCAACCCUUUCCAGAUACUCAAAGUAAUAGGAACAGUCUUUCCUCCACUCCUUCUGUUCCCCACCCAAACAAUGCUUCUCACGAAAUAAACAUGUGACAAACAUCACAGAAGACACAUAACCAGAAUUACAAGGCUAUCAACUCUAGGAAAUGAAAUUGUAAGAGAAUCCAAGAUAUAAUAUCCAAGUUUCAGAACACAACUGGAGUUCCUUGAGACAGUAUUAUACCCAGAUAUUGUUGUGACUCCCAGACAACACUUCCUGGCAUUGAAUUACACUGGAUCAGGAACUGUUUUGUUCCCAAAGAUACCACAAUUUACUCCAGGAACAUUGACUAUUAUUCUGCUCUUGGAGGGCAAGGACUGUUUCUUUGUAAUUAUAUCAAGUUGUGAUUGUAUCAAGUAUCUUUCCACUGGACUCGGAUGGUUCUAGAGGAGAGAGUGAAGCUGAUGACUGCACAGCCCUCUCCAAUUCACUUGCAUAUCAUGGCAUCACCUUCCUGAUAUCAUGUCUUUGAGAACAAGGGACAAACAACAGCAACCCAACUACUCAGCCCAGCACCAGGCACAUGACAGGUACAUACUAAUACUCAUUU
rnacentral:lncRNA from 1 species